GAUGAACGCUGGCGGCGUGCCUAAUACAUGCAAGUCGAGCGAACGGACGAGAAGCUUGCUUCUCUGAUGUUAGCGGCGGACGGGUGAGUAACACGUGGAUAACCUACCUAUAAGACUGGGAUAACUUCGGGAAACCGGAGCUAAUACCGGAUAAUAUUUUGAACCGCAUGGUUCAAAAGUGAAAGACGGUCUUGCUGUCACUUAUAGAUGGAUCCGCGCUGCAUUAGCUAGUUGGUAAGGUAACGGCUUACCAAGGCAACGAUGCAUAGCCGACCUGAGAGGGGGAUCGGCCACACUGGAACUGAGACACGGUCCAGACUCCUACGGGAGGCAGCAGUAGGGAAUCUUCCGCAAUGGGCGAAAGCCUGACGGAGCAACGCCGCGUGAGUGAUGAAGGUCUUCGGAUCGUAAAACUCUGUUAUUAGGGAGGAACAUAUGUGUAAGUAACUGUGCACAUCUUGACGGUACCUAAUCAGAAAGCCACGGCUAACUACGUG
rnacentral:rRNA from 1 species